GGCCACAGCCAUGUCAACCUGCAGCCCAAGACCGCUUACUCACUGAAGCUAAGCAGGGCUGAGCCUGGUCAGUACCUGGAUGGGAAGCCACUAGGGAACACUAGGUUGCUGUUGGAA
rfam:Danio rerio chromosome 25, GRCz11 reference primary assembly.